rnacentral:rRNA from 1 species
AUGAAACCCCUUAUACAACGGGAUAAAUACAAAGGGGUACAUGACUUAUAUUAUAACUCUAACAGCCGGCAGCCCCUGAACUUCUCGCCGCGCCGCGGACGAUCUGCCACUGCUGCGAAGGCCAAGCCCUGCGUGCCGCCCACCGCUGAGCGUCGUGCGCAGGUCCAGAUACUGCGCACCCUUGGCAUCAUCGGCACCGAUCAAGUGAUCUCCGCCGAGGCCAUGAAGGCAUACGAUGGGGUCUUUGCUGCGCCCCUUUCUCAUGCCGUGUUGACGGCCAUUGCCGUGCUUGUUGGCCGCGUGCUACCCGCCGACCCGUCCACGGCGCCUGUCACCACGGUGAUCUCGAGCAGCCCGAUCGAGGCCUAG